GGACAGAUGGCAGAGUGGUUGAAUGCACUAGUCUUGAAAACUAGCGUGGGCGCAAGUCUACCCAGGGUUCGAAUCCCUGUCUGUCCGCCA
rnacentral:tRNA from 1 species